rnacentral:rRNA from 1 species
GGAGGGGGCUAGCGUUGUUCGGAAUUACUGGGCGUAAAGCGCACGUAGGCGGCGAUUUAAGUCAGAGGUGAAAGCCCGGGGCUCAACCCCGGAAUAGCCUUUGAGACUGGAUUGCUUGAACAUCGGAGAGGUGAGUGGAAUUCCGAGUGUAGAGGUGAAAUUCGUAGAUAUUCGGAAGAACACCAGUGGCGAAGGCGGCUCACUGGACGAUUGUUGACGCUGAGGUGCGAAAGCGUGGGGAGCAAACAGGAUUAGAUACCCCGGUAGUCCACGCCGUAAACGAUGAUAACUAGCUGCUGGGGCUCAUGGAGUUUCGGUGGCGCAGCUAACGCAUUAAGUUAUCCGCCUGGGGAGUACGGUCGCAAGAUUA